rnacentral:rRNA from 1 species
GACGAACGCUGGCGGCGCGCUUAACACAUGCAAGUCGAGCGAGAACCAGGGCUUCGGCCCUGGGGACAGCGGCGAACGGGUGAGUAACACGUGGAUAACCUGCCCUCGGCACCGGGAUAGCCCGGGGAAACCCGGAUUAAUACCGGAUGGCCCUUCCGGCUCUCGAGCCGGUCGGAAAAGGUAGCUUCGGCCUCCGGCCGAGGAUGGGUCCGCGGCGGAUUAGCUUGUUGGCGGGGUAACGGCCCACCAAGGCGACGAUCCGUAGCUGGUCUGAGAGGACGAUCAGCCACACUGGGACUGAGACACGGCCCAGACUCCUACGGGAGGCAGCAGUGGGGAAUCUUGCGCAAUGGGCGAAAGCCUGACGCAGCGACGCCGCGUGAGGGAAGAAGGCCUUCGGGUUGUAAACCUCUUUCAGGAGGGACGAAGCUACUCGGGUGAAUAGCCCAGAGGGUGACGGUACCUCCAGAAGAAGCCCCGGCUAACUACGUGCCAGCAGCCGCCGCAGUAA